rnacentral:rRNA from 1 species
GGGCCCGCACAAGCGGUGGAGCAUGUGGUUUAAUUCGAUGAUACGCGAGGAACCUUACCAGGGUUUAAAUGCAGAACGACAGGGGUGGAAACACCCCCUUCUUCGGACGGACUGCAAGGUGCUGCAUGGUUGUCGUCAGCUCGUGCUGUGAAGUGUCGGGUUAAGUCCCAUAACGAGCGCAACCCCCAUUUCUAGUUGCCAGCGGUUCGGCCGGGGACUCUAGAGAAACUGCCAGCGUAAGCUGUGAGGAAGGUGGGGGAUGGACGUCAAAUCAUCACGGCCCUUGACAUCCUGGGCCACACACGUGCUACAAUGGUGGGACAACAGGUUGCCAACCCGCGAGGGU